rnacentral:rRNA from 1 species
CCUACGGGUGGCAGCAGUGGGGAAUAUUGGACAAUGGGGGCAACCCUGAUCCAGCCAUGCCGCGUGUGUGAAGAAGGCCCUCGGGUUGUAAAGCACUUUCAGUGAGGAAGAACGCCUGGUGGUUAAUACCCAUCAGGAAAGACAUCACUCACAGAAGAAGCACCGGCUAACUCCGUGCCAGCAGCCGCGGUAAUACGGAGGGUGCGAGCGUUAAUCGGAAUUACUGGGCGUAAAGCGCGCGUAGGUGGCUUGAUAAGCCGGUUGUGAAAGCCCCGGGCUCAACCUGGGAACGGCAUCCGGAACUUUCAAGCUAGAGUGCAGGAGAGGAAGGUAGAAUUCCCGGUGUAGCGGUGAAAUGCGUAGAGAUCGGGAGGAAUACCAGUGGCGAAGGCGGCCUUCUGGACUGACACUGACACUGAGGUGCGAAAGCGUGGGUAGCAAACAGGAUUAGAUACCCUAGUAGUC